CUGUUCCCCGCGGCUGCGGCAGCACCAGCGCCGGCCGCCACCGCCUCUGGAACGCGGAGGAGGUGGGUCCUGGGAAGCAGGAUGUCCAUCGCUCCAGCUUGGUGGUGAAUGCUGAGGAAAGUCACUGUUGCUGCAGUCUGUGCCACCCGGAGGAAGUUGUGUGAGGCCGGGCGGGAGCUCGCGGCGCUCUGGGGAAUCGAAACGCGGGGUCGGUGCGAAGACUCUGCUGCUGUCAGACCGUUUCCUAUUCUGGCCAUGCCUGGAAGGAACAAGGCGAAGUCUACCUGCAGCUGCCCUGACCUGCAGCCCAAUGGACAGGAUCUGGGCGAGAACAGCCGGGUUGCCCGUCUAGGAGCGGAUGAAUCUGAGGAAGAGGGACGGAGGGGGUCUCUCAGUAAUGCCGGGGACCCUGAGAUCGUCAAGUCUCCCAGCGACCCCAAGCAAUACCGAGAGAUGAUCUCACUGUGUCACCCAGGCUAUACUGCAGUGGUGCCAUCAUAGCUGACUGCAGCAUUGAACUCCUAGGCUCAAGUGAUCCUCCUGCCUGUGCCGCCCAAAGUGUUGGAAUUACAGGCAUGAGCCACUGCUUCUAGAUGGAUGUUUUUUAUUGGGGGGGGAAAGCCCUAUAUACAUAUGUAUGUAUUUUUUACUAAUUCUAAAACUGCUAACCCAAGCAGGACAAAAUUUAAUUGAAUACCAAGAAAAUAACCAUGCCAGAUUUUCAUGCUCAAUCGGCUAAUACUAACAUUGUU
rnacentral:sRNA from 1 species